rnacentral:rRNA from 1 species
UACGUAGGGGGCUAGCGUUGUCCGGAAUCAUUGGGCGUAAAGCGCGUGUAGGCGGCCCGGUAAGUCCGCUGUGAAAGUCGGGGGCUCAACCCUCGGAUGCCGGUGGAUACUGUCGGGCUUGAGUACGGAAGAGGCGAGUGGAAUUCCUGGUGUAGCGGUGAAAUGCGCAGAUAUCAGGAGGAACACCCGUGGCGAAAGCGGCUCUCUGGGACGGUACUGACGCUGAGACGCGAAAGCGUGGGGAGCAAACAGG